rnacentral:rRNA from 1 species
GACGAACGCUGGCGGCGUGCCUAAUACAUGCAAGUCGAACGCAGUGGGGACGGGUGAGUAACAAGUGGGUAACCUCCCAUCAGAGGGGAUAACACUUGGCAACAGGUGCUAACACGCUACGGAUGGAUCGACCCGCGGUGCAUUAGCUAGUUGGGGAGGUAACGGCUCACCAAGGCCACGAUGCCUAGCCGACCGGUGAGGGUGAGCGGCCACACUGGGACUGAGACACGGCCCAGACUCCUACGGGAGGCAGCAGUAGGGAAUCUUCGGCAAUGGACGAAAGGCUGACCGAGCAACGCCGCGUGAGUGAAGAAGGUUUUCGGAUCGUAAAACGCUGUUGUUAGAGAAGCGGUAUCUAACCAGAAAGCCACGGCUAACUACGUGCCAGCAGCCGCGGUAAUUC